rnacentral:misc_RNA from 1 species
GAUGAAGAACGCAGCGAAAUGCGAUACGUAAUGUGAAUUGCAAAUUCAGUGAAUCAUCGAGUCUUUGAACGCACAUUGCGCCCCCUGGUAUUCCGGGGGGCAUGCCUGUCCGAGCGUCAUUGCUGCCCUCAAGCACGGCUUGUGUGUUGGGCCCCGUCCUCCGAUCCCGGGGGACGGGCCCGAAAGGCAGCGGCGGCACCGCGUCCGGUCCUCGAGCGUAUGGGGCUUUGUCACCCGCUCUGUAGGCCCGGCCGGCGCUUGCCGAUCAACCCAAAUUUUUUAUCCAGGUUGACCUCGGAUCAGGUAGGGAUACCCGCUGAACUUAAGAAUAUCAAUAAGCGGAGGA